GACCAGCGGAGGGAUCAUUACCGAGUUUACAACUCCCAAACCCCUGUGAACAUACCUAUACGUUGCCUCGGCGGAUCAGCCCGCGCCCCGUAAAACGGGACGGCCCGCCCGAGGACCCCUAAACUCUGUUUUUAGUGGAACUUCUGAGUAAAACAAACAAAUAAAUCAAAACUUUCAACAACGGAUCUCUUGGUUCUGGCAUCGAUGAAGAACGCAGCAAAAUGCGAUAAGUAAUGUGAAUUGCAGAAUUCAGUGAAUCAUCGAAUCUUUGAACGCACAUUGCGCCCGCCAGUAUUCUGGCGGGCAUGCCUGUUCGAGCGUCAUUUCAACCCUCAAGCUCAGCUUGGUGUUGGGACUCGCGGUAACCCGCGUUCCCCAAAUCGAUUGGCGGUCACGUCGAGCUUCCAUAGCGUAGUAAUCAUACACCUCGUUACUGGUAAUCGUCGCGGCCACGCCGUUAAACCCCAACUUCUGAAUGUUGACCUCGGAUCAGGUAGGAAUACCCGCUGAACUUAAGCAUAUCAAUAAGCGGAGGA
rnacentral:rRNA from 1 species